UAAUAGGCAUUACCGGCUUAUGGUGUGGCA
rnacentral:piRNA from 1 species